AGCUGCAGAAGCUGUGCAAGAAACUGAGAAGGCUUACAAACAGAUUGAUCGAUUGAAGAGGAAUCAUGAACAAGAUGUUAGUACUUUGAAUCAAUUACUUGCGGAGUCCCAUAGGGCUAAAGAAGUAGGACCUGUUUAUGAUAUGGCCAAAGAAGUAGGACCUGUUUAUGAUGACUCGGACAUGGCGAAAUAUGAUGCAGUGGAACUGGACACCACAGCUGAUCAGCGAUGGAGAGACGAAUUCGAGCCAUUUUAUAAUGGUGAUGAGGAGUCAACUAAAUUAGUAGAACCCUCCUCAUGG
rnacentral:lncRNA from 1 species